rnacentral:rRNA from 1 species
AUGUCUAGUUCACCUCCUCCGGACGCCGGCGGGUCGCCACCGGUUACUCCAUCUCCGACGCCGCCUGUUACACCAGUUACUCCAUCUCCGACGCCGCCGGUUACGCCGGUGACUCCAUCUCCUCCAGACAAUCCCGUCGUGACGCCUCCGGUGGCUCCAGUGAAUAGCCCACCUCCUCCAGACACUAGCAUGUUUAAUCCGCCUCCUCCAGUGACUCCAUCACCACCGCCUCCGGAAGCCACUCCCCCGCCUCCUGUGACUCCAUCACCACCUCCUCCGGUAGCCAUUCCGCCUACUCCGGUGACUCCAUCACCACCUCCUCCGCCUCCGGUAGCAAUUCCGCCUUCUCCGGUGACUGCUCCACCACCACCUCCUCCGGUAGCAAUUCCACCUUCACUGCCUCCUCAGGUAGCAGCUGUUCCGCCUACUACCGCGAAACCCCCGACCAUCGUAAAUCCUCCAGCGCCGGAACCUUCAGUACAACCCCCGGUGAAUUCUCCUCCACCGCCUCCACCGUCGCCACCUCCACCAAGGCCGCCGACGCGGCCAAACCCAACGCCAGUUACGCCGUCGCCGCCUCCACCAAGGACCACGCCAACGCCAAACCCAACGCCAGCAACACCGUCCCCACCUCCACCAAGGCCAACUCCAACUCCAACACCAACACCGACGCCAACUCCUCCCAGGCCGCCGCCAUCAUCCCCAGCUCCGCCGACGGACGUGCCACGUUCAUUUCCACCACCGCCUGAUGCCACGCCACCACCUCCUGAGGACGUCCCAUAUUCACCGCCGGCCCCGAACGACGCCCCAGCUGAACAAGCGCCUCCGCCGUCAGCUCUAACGUGGUCUCCGCCUCCUCCGCCGCUCUCAACGGACGUGCCGGCGACCUUGGCCAAGUCCUCGUCAAGCAGCAGGACCACGGUGGGCUUGGGCGUGGGCGUGGCCGUCGGGGCGGUGGUCUUGCUCGGCCUCGCGGCCGUCAUCUUCUUCUUCCUGGCCAGGCGGCGCCGUCGCCCUAGGGUGCCCCCGUCCGGCACUCCAGCGGAUUUCUUCUACGACCCGAGGCAGCCGACGACGCCGCUGCAGCAGUCGCACCCGCUGUCGACGCCGUCGUCGACGCCGCCGCUGAUGCACUCGUGGGCGCAGAGCAGCGGCGGCGACCCGGGCGGGCCGCCGCUCCCGGCCAUGACGGGCGGCACGUUCGGCUACGACGAGCUGGCGGCGGCGACGGAUGGGUUCGCAGAGGAGAACCUGCUGGGGCAGGGCGGGUUCGGGCACGUGUACAAGGGCACGGUGAAGGGGCAGGAGGUGGCCAUCAAGAAGCUGCGCGCCGGCAGCGGGCAGGGCCACCGCGAGUUCCGCGCCGAGGUGGACAUCAUCAGCCGCGUGCACCACAAGAACCUCGUCUCCCUCGUCGGCUUCUGCAUCCACGCCGAGCAGCGCCUCCUCGUCUACGAGUACGUCCCCAACAAGACCCUCGAGUCCCAACUGCACCACGGGAGCGCCCGCGCGACGCUGGAUUGGCCUCGCCGGUGGAAGAUCGCCGUCGGCUCGGCGAAGGGCCUCGCGUAUCUGCACGAAGACUGUCAUCCUAAGAUCAUCCACCGUGACAUCAAGGCGGCCAACAUCCUCCUCGACUACAACUAUGAGCCCAAGGUCGCAGAUUUUGGGCUGGCAAAAUGCCAAGAAGCAGAACAUACUGCUGUUUCUACGCGCGUAAUGGGAACUUUUGGAUACCUGGCUCCGGAAUAUUACGCCACCGGCAAAGUAACCGACCGGUCCGACGUCUACUCCUUCGGCGUGAUGCUUCUGGAGCUCAUCACCGGACGGAAGCCUAUCAUGGCAUCCUCAGAUCACCAGCCAGAAACAUUGGCUACUUGGGCAAAGCCCCUGCUGACCAAGGCCUUGGAGGAGGAAAACUACGAGGAGCUGAUCGACCCGGAGCUGGGGACCAACUAUGACGCCUACGACAUGGCGCGACUCGUCGCCUGCGCCGCCGCCGCCGUGCGCCAGACGGCGCGCUCUCGCCCGCGGAUGGCACAGAUCGUUCGGUACCUGGAGGGCGAGCUGUCGGCGGAGGACCUGAACGGCGGCAUGGCGCCGGGCCAGAGCGCGAUGCAUCGCUCAGGGGGCGGCAACACGGACGAAGUCAGGCGGCUCAGGAGGAUGGCGUUCGGGCCGGGCACCGGGACGGCCGGCGGCACCAUCAGCGAGUACGCCAGCAGCGAGAUGAGCGCGCCGACCAGCGAGUACGGGCUGAACCCGUCCAGCGAGUACACGGCCAGCAGCGCGGCGGACACGGAGGACAUGACGGACUUCCCGCACAGAGCCGGCACCGGCAGGGGCGCCGCCGAGGGGGCCAGCGGCGAGGCGGGACGCGGAACCACGGAGGGGUUCAGCAGGCGCACCACUGGCAGACGUACCAGCCGGGGGUGA